UACGUAGGGCGCAAGCGUUAUCCGGAAUUAUUGGGCGUAAAGAGCUCGUAGGCGGUCUGUCGCGUCUGCUGUGAAAACUCAGGGCUUAACCCUGAGCUUGCAGUGGGUACGGGCAGACUAGAGUGCGGUAGGGGAGACUGGAAUUCCUGGUGUAGCGGUGAAAUGCGCAGAUAUCAGGAGGAACACCGGUGGCGAAGGCGGGUCUCUGGGCCGGAACUGACGCUGAGGAGCGAAAGCGUGGGGAGCGAACAGG
rnacentral:rRNA from 1 species